ACUACGGGAGGCAGCAGUGAGGAAUAUUGGUCAAUGGGCGCGAGCCUGAACCAGCCAAGUAGCGUGAAGGAUAACUGCCCUACGGGUUGUAAACUUCUUUUAUCAAGGACUAUAGUGAUGCACGUUUGCCUUUUUGUAUGUACUUUAUGAAUAAGGUUCGGCUAACUCCGUGCAAGCAGCCGCGUUAAUACGGAGGAUCCGAGCUUUAUCCGGAUUUAUUGGGUUUAAAGGGAGCGUAGAUGGGUUGUGAGGUCAGUUGUGAAAGUCUGCGGCUCACCCGUAAAAGUGCAAUUGAUACUGGCAGUCGUGAGUACAGAUGAGGUAGGAGGAAGUCGUGGUGUAGCGGUGAAAGGCUUAGAUAUCACGAAGAACUCCGAUUGCGAAGGCAGCUUACUAAACUGCCACUGACAUUGAUGCUCGAAAGUGUGGGUAUCAAACAGGAGUAGAGACCCGUGUAGUC
rnacentral:rRNA from 1 species